CACAGAGGCCAACCCCUUCCUCAGCAGGCGGCAGCCGGAGGGCCUGGGUGGCCUGAAGGGUGAGGGCAAUGCAAGCAAGGAGUCAGGAGAGAGCCUGCCCCUGUGUGGGCCCUCAGACAAGGUCUCACUGCCACACGGCAGCAGGGCCAGCAAAGGCCGUGACCGCGAGCUGGACUUCAAGGGCGGCCACAACCUCUUCAUCUCUGCUGCAGCCGUGCCUCCAGGUGGCCUCCUUGGUGGCCCUGGUCUUGUAACUGUGGCUUCCUCUGCGGGCAGUGCGACACCCUCUGCCCAGGCUCCCCGGCCUUUCCUGAGCACCUUUGCCCCUGGGCCCCAGUUUACUCUGGGCCCCAUGUCCCUGCAGGCCAACCUGGGCUCUGUGGCCGGCUCCUCUGUGCUGCAGUCCUUGUUCAGCACUGUGCCAGCUGCUGCAGGCCUGGUGCAUGUGUCAUCCACUGCGACCCGACUGACCAACUCACACACCAUGGGCAGCUUCUCCUCUGGGGUGGCCGGCGGAACCGUUGGAGGUAGGCAAGGAAGGGCCAACUUCUGAGGACUUCUGGCCCCAGUCCAGGAGCUCAGUCCCUCACCAGCUACUCAGGCUCCUUCCAAGCUCUCUAGAGGGCAUAAGGGGAGUGCAGCCUCCUGCCAAUGCAAGGCCACAGACCCAAGGUGUGUGAGGAGGAGACUGCUGGCUGCCUCAUAACACAUGCCUCUUGUUUUCAGAAGACCACGGUGCACUUAACUAGGGCAGUACUUUCUUCUGGGGCCUCCCCUGUU
rnacentral:lncRNA from 1 species